UACGUAGGCAGCGAGCGUUGUUCGGAAUUACUGGGCGUAAAGAGUGUGUAGGUGGUGCUCUAAGUUCGGUGUGAAAUCUCCCGGCUUAACUGGGAGGGUGCGCCGAAAACUGGAGUGCUCGAGCGUGGGAGAGGAAAGCGGAAUUCCUGGUGUAGCGGUGAAAUGCGUUGAUAUCAUCAGGAACACCGGAGGCGAAGGCGGUCCACUGGGUCCUUUCUGACGCUGAGGGACGAAAGCUAGGGGAGCGAACGGG
rnacentral:rRNA from 1 species